CCUACGGGAGGCAGCAGUGAGGAAUAUUGGUCAAUGGCCGGAAGGCUGAACCAGCCAAGCCGCGUGAAGGACGAAUGUGCCAAGCAUUGUAAACUUCUUUUGUCAAGGGACAAAAUCAGGCUCGAGAGCCUGACCGAGGGUACUUGAAGAAAAAGCAUCGGCUAACUCCGUGCCAGCAGCCGCGGUAAUACGGAGGAUGCGAGCGUUAUCCGGAUUUAUUGGGUUUAAAGGGUGCGUAGGCGGACUGUUAAGUCAGCGGUAAAAGCCCGGGGCUAAACCCCGGCGAGCCGUUGAAACUGGCAGUCUUGAGAUGUCGAGAGGUAUGCGGAAUGCGCAGUGUAGCGGUGAAAUGCUUAGAUAUUGCGCAGAACUCCGAUUGCGAAGGCAGCAUACCGGCGGCGAUCUGACGCUGAGGCACGAAAGCGUGGGUAUCGAACAGGAUUAGAUACCCGAGUAGUC
rnacentral:rRNA from 1 species